rnacentral:rRNA from 1 species
AGUGAACGCUGGCGGUAGGCCUAACACAUGCAAGUCGAACGGCAGCACAGUAAGAGCUUGCUCUUACGGGUGGCGAGUGGCGGACGGGUGAGGAAUACAUCGGAAUCUACUUUUUCGUGGGGGAUAACGUAGGGAAACUUACGCUAAUACCGCAUACGACCUACGGGUGAAAGCAGGGGAUCUUCGGACCUUGCGCGAUUGAAUGAGCCGAUGUCGGAUUAGCUAGUUGGCGGGGUAAAGGCCCACCAAGGCGACGAUCCGUAGCUGGUCUGAGAGGAUGAUCAGCCCCACUGGAACUGAGACACGGUCCUGACUCCUACGGGAGGCAGCAGUGGGGAAUAUUGGACAAUGGGCGCAAGCCUGAUCCAGCCAUACCGCGUGUGUGAAGAAGGCCUUUGGGUUGUAAAGCCCUUUUGUUGGGAAAGAAAAGCAGCAGGUUAAUACCCCGCUGUUCUGACGGUACCCAAAGAAUAAGCACCGGCUAACUUCGUG